GUCGCUUCUCGGCCUUUGGCUAAGAUCAAGUGUAAAAAAAUCUGUUCUUAUCAGUUUAAUAUCUGUCGUCCUCUACCGAGACCAUAUAUUAAUCUGAUUUUUUGGAACAAGAGAGCGGAGAAGAGAGCUUGCUCCGUCCAUCCACAUCGACCGGUAUUGCAGGCGACUCGGGGGCGGUGCACAUCCC